AUUCAUUGAUUUAGGAAAUUGAAUUGGCAGCAGUUGGUGCAGAUCAGCAAAAGAUUUCUGGAGCAGUUUGCAGCUUUUCUGCCACUCUCUGAGAAUUCAUGGAUGAGUUGAACUUGAACCCAUUUG